AUUGAACGCUGGCGGCAGGCUUAACACAUGCAAGUCGAACGAGUGGCGGACGGGAGAGUAAUGCUUGGGAACCGAGCUGAUGGAGGGGGAUAAUUACGGGAAACUGAAGCUAAUACCGCGUACCAUCGGAUGAGCCAAAGUGGGAUUAGGUAGUUGGUAGGGUAAAGGCUCACCAAGCCCACGAUCACUAGCUGGUCGUAGAGGAUGACCGGCCACCCUGGGACUGAGACACGGCCCAUGCUCCUACGUGAGGCAGCCUUGGGGAAUAUUGCGCAAUGGGGGCAACCUGACGCAGCCAUGCCGCGUAGAGGAAAAAGUCCUUCGGGUUGUAAAGUUCUUUCGGUAGGGAGGCGUUAACUACAGAGAAAGCACCGGCUAACUCCGUGCCAGCAGCCGCGGUAAUUC
rnacentral:rRNA from 1 species